rnacentral:rRNA from 1 species
GACGAACGCUGGCGGCGUGCUUAACACAUGCAAGUCGAACGGAAAGGCCCCUUUGGGGGUACUCGAGUGGCGAACGGGCGAGUAACACGUGAGUAACUUGCCCUCGACUUCGGGAUAACUUCAGGAAACUGGGGCUAAUACCGGCUAGGAAUCCUUUCUUCAUGGUGGGGGGUGGAAAGCUUCGGCGGGUUUGGAUGGACUCGCGGCUUAUCAGCUUGUUGGUGGGGUAGUGGCUUACCAAGGCUUUGACGGGUAGCCGGCCUGGGAGGGCGACCGGCCACAUUGGGACUGGGAUACGGCCCAGACUCCUACGGGAGGCAGCAGUGGGGAAUAUUGCACAAAGGGCGGAAGCCUGAUGCAGCAACGCCGCGGGCGGGAUGACGGGCUUCGGGUUGGAAACCGCUUUCAGCAGGGGCGAAGCUUGUGGUGACGGUACCUGCAGAAGAAGCACCGGCUAACUACGUG